rnacentral:rRNA from 1 species
UACAGAGGGUGCGAGCGUUGUUCGGAAUUAUUGGGCGUAAAGGGCGCGUAGGCGGUGCCACAAGUCACUUGUGAAAUCCCCGGGCUUAACUCGGGGCCUGCAGGCGAAACUGUGGUGCUGGGAGUAUGGGAGAGGUGCGUGGAAUUCCGGUGUAGCGGUGAAAUGCGUAGAUAUCGGGAGGAACACCUGUGGCGAAAGCGG